rnacentral:rRNA from 1 species
ACUCAAAUGAAUUGACGGGGGCCCGCACAAGCGGUGGAGCAUGUGGUUCAAUUCGAAGCAACGCGCAGAACCUUACCAGGCCUUGACAUCCCGGUCGCGGCCCCUUGAAAGAGGGGCCUUCAGUUCGGCUGGACCGGUGACAGGUGCUGCAUGGCUGUCGUCAGCUCGUGUCGUGAGAUGUUGGGUUAAGUCCCGCAACGAGCGCAACCCUCGCCCUUAGUUGCCAUCAUUUAGUUGGGCACUCUAAGGGGACUGCCGGUGAUAAGCCGCGAGGAAGGUGGGGAUGACGUCAAGUCCUCAUGGCCCUUACGGCCUGGGCUACACACGUGCUACAAUGGCGGUGACAAUGGGCAGCAAUGGCGCGAGCCGGAGCUAAUCUCAAAAAGCCGUCUCAGUUCGGAUUGCACUCUGCAACUCGGGUGCAUGAAGUUGGAAUCGCUAGUAAUCGUGGAUCAGCAUGCCACGGUGAAUACGUUCCCGGGCCUUGCACACACCGCCCGU